UACGAAGGGGGCUAGCGUUGCUCGGAAUGACUGGGCGUAAAGGGCGCGUAGGCGGUUUGGACAGUUAGGCGUGAAAUUCCUGGGCUCAACCUGGGGGCUGCGCUUAAUACAUCCAGACUGGAGUGUGAAAGAGGGUCGUGGAAUUCCCAGUGUAGAGGUGAAAUUCGUAGAUAUUAGGAAGAACACCAGUGGCGAAGGCGGCUCACUGGCCCGGUACUGACGCUGAGGCGCGAAAGCGUGGGGAGCAAACAGG
rnacentral:rRNA from 1 species